AGUGAACGCUGGCGGUAGGCCUAACACAUGCAAGUCGAACGGCAGCACAGUAAGAGCUUGCUCUUACGGGUGGCGAGUGGCGGACGGGUGAGGAAUACAUCGGAAUCUACUUUUUCGUGGGGGAUAACGUAGGGAAACUUACGCUAAUACCGCAUACGACCUACGGGUGAAAGCAGGGGAUCUUCGGACCUUGCGCGAUUGAAUGAGCCGAUGUCGGAUUAGCUAGUUGGCGGGGUAAAGGCCCACCAAGGCGACAAUCCGUAGCUGGUCUGAGAGGAUGAUGAGCCACCGAGAGACUGAGACGCGGCCCAGACUCGGACGGGAGGCAGAAGGGGGGAAUAUUGGACGAUGGGGGGAAGCCUGAUCCAGCCAUACCGCGGGGGUGCAGAAGGCCUUCGGGUUGUAAAGCCCUUUUGUUGGGAAAGAAAAGCAGCAGGUUAGUACUGCGGUGUUCUGACGGUAGCCAAAGAAUAAGCACCGGCUAACUACGUG
rnacentral:rRNA from 1 species